AAAUAUUUCAGUGACAUUUUAUAAUGACCCAAUAUUUACAAUUUUAUUAUGUCAAAAUGAUGUCACCCGUUUGCCAACUCCUAGUGGCAUCAGCAAUCAAAUAUACAUAUUUGACUUAUAACAUGGAUACUAGCGAAUUACAUCACAUAUACAUGUUCACAAGUAACAAACCCUUGACCGUCAGCAAAGUGACCGUGGGUGGAGGUACAACUACUAAGAUGCCAUAGUACCUACCAAGAAGGCGAGCAUAUAUGGACAACUUAAUCUGGUCCCAACUGCCUCCAAAUAAGAAAACAUGAAGUUUAAAAAUGUGAGUAUAAAACUCAGUUAGUGAACAUAUGAAGGGAACAAGCAAUCGAUAAGGAGAACUUAGAAAUCAUGAUGCACUUGUUUCAAAAACAAUGCAAUUGGUUUAAUUUCUUACUAAAAACCCCUCAUUUCAAGCUUUGAUUAAUAACCUCAUAGUGUUGCAAAAACCCAUGAUCAAUCCAUGAAGUUAAAUGGGUGAAAAAUAUGUCAAAAUCAAGCAAGGUAGCAAGCAGGACAGCAAGUUUCUCGCUGCAGUGAGAAACAGUCUCAGUUUGCAUAUAUUUUGGUUUUUCCAGCAUAGCUCCCACUAAAGAAGUCCAAUUGACCUGAUAUUUAUACUAUUAAAAAGCUAAGAGGUUGGGCUACAACUUUUAUGUUUACCACUUUGCCCAGUUAUAACUUCAAGGUAGUCAAAAUCAUUGUCAAAUUAGAAGCACUGCACUAGGAAUUUGGAACUACCUGAGAGUUUCUCGCUACAGCGAGAAUCCAUUUUUGCUGCAGUAAGAAUUCUUUUUCGCUGCAGCGAGAAACAUGGCUGGUUUGUGCCCCCACCACCCAAGAGUUUCUCGCUGAAGUGAGAUUUAGCGCAGAUGACAAUUAAAGGAUUUUCACAUGCCACAAAAUCCAUUCCUACCAUAUUGCACAUCAAAGUGAACACAUUGACAAUAAUCAAGUUUCUCAUUAUUCAUUUCAAUCACAUAUUAUAAUCAUAAACUUUCUAUCACAUAUACAUAUAUAAACACGUACACCACCCCACUUCAUACAUUGUCAUGGGCACUCUCUACUCGUACAUGGCCGAGUCAUCAUCGGCUUAUGCGCACUCCCUACUCACACAUAGCCGAGUCAUCAUCAGCUCAUGUGCACUCCCACAUUGCACAUAGCUGGGUCAUCAUCAGCUCAUGUGCACUCCCACAUCGCACAUAACUGGGUCAUCAUUACCACACAACAUUAUUCAUCAAAUGCACAAAAUAUAUUCAUAUAUAUACAUACCAACAUAAUAUAGAAGAACAUAGAUUCAUCUUUUUACACAUUUCACAUUUUCACAACAUCAAAACAUUUUAUCAAAGGCUUGUUCCCAUGCAUAAUUUAAUGAAAAACCAAGUAAAAUCAUUUAAAUGCUUCAUCCCAACAUAUAUGUAUUUUUCAAAAACACUUUGAUGCAAGUUCACUCACCGAUAUUUGUUGAAUCUUUAAUUGACUCUAGCUUCGAUUAUUACUUUAAAUGGACAUGUGAGGCCUCGUUGGAACCUAUCACACACAAUAUAACCGUAAAAAAUAUAACAGCCCACAAUUCUAAUUAUUAGCCAUCUCUACCUAAAAUCAACCUUAACUCAUCUCUCACCUUGGUGGACUUAUAGUUGAACUCCUUUUCAAGAGUUUUCAAGCUACCAUGGCAAGUCUCUCUUUCUCUCUCUAAAAUUUUCAACUAGUGAGAGAAAGUACUGAACAAAGACUUUUGAGGGUUUUAAGGUGGGAGAGUGAAAGAGCACCAAAGGUUUCAAGGAAAAGUGCACCAAAGCAUGUAAAUUGCAGUUAAUUUGAGAGAGCUAUGGAAGCUUUAUGGGAGGCUCCCAUGGAGAUAAAGAAACGUGGGAUGGGAAGGGAAGAAGAAAU
rnacentral:lncRNA from 1 species